rnacentral:rRNA from 1 species
CACGUGGGUAACCUGCCUGUAAGACUGGGAUAACUCCGGGAAACCGGGGCUAAUACCGGAUGGUUGUCUGAACCGCAUGGUUCAGACAUAAAAGGUGGCUUCGGCUACCACUUACAGAUGGACCCGCGGCGCAUUAGCUAGUUGGUGAGGUAACGGCUCACCAAGGCGACGAUGCGUAGCCGACCUGAGAGGGUGAUCGGCCACACUGGGACUGAGACACGGCCCAGACUCCUACGGGAGGCAGCAGUAGGGAAUCUUCCGCAAUGGACGAAAGUCUGACGGAGCAACGCCGCGUGAGUGAUGAAGGUUUUCGGAUCGUAAAGCUCUGUUGUUAGGGAAGAACAAGUGCCGUUCAAAUAGGGCGGCACCUUGACGGUACCUAACCAGAAAGCCACGGCUAACUACGUGCCAGCAGCCGCGGUAAUACGUAGGUGGCAAGCGUUGUCCGGAAUUAUUGGGCGUAAAGGGCUCGCAGGCGGUUUCUUAAGUCUGAUGUGAAAGCCCCCGGCUCAACCGGGGAGGGUCAUUGGAAACUGGGGAACUUGAGUGCAGAAGAGGAGAGUGGAAUCCACGUGAGCGUGAAAAUGCGUAGAGAUGUGGAGGAACACCAGUGGCGAAGGCGACUCUCUGGUCUGUAACUGACGCUGAGGAGCGAAAGCGUGGGGAGCGAACAGGAUUAGAUACCCUGGUAGUCCACGCCGUAAACGAUGAGUGCUAAGUGUUAGGGGGUUUCCGCCCCUUAGUGCUGCAGCUAACGCAUUAAGCACUCCGCCUGGGGAGUACGGUCGCAAGACUGAAACUCAAAGGAAUUGACGGGGGCCCGCACAAGCGGUGGAGCAUGUGGUUUAAUUCGAAGCAACGCGAAGAACCUUACCAGGUCUUGACAUCCUCUGACAAUCCUAGAGAUAGGACGUCCCCUUCGGGGGCAGAGUGACAGGUGGUGCAUGGUUGUCGUCAGCUCGUGUCGUGAGAUGUUGGGUUAAGUCCCGCAACGAGCGCAACCCUUGAUCUUAGUUGCCAGCAUUCAGUUGGGCACUCUAAGGUGACUGCCGGUGACAAACCGGAGGAAGGUGGGGAUGACGUCAAAUCAUCAUGCCCCUUAUGACCUGGGCUACACACGUGCUACAAUGGACAGAACAAAGGGCAGCGAAACCGCGAGGUUAAGCCAAUCCCACAAAUCUGUUCUCAGUUCGGAUCGCAGUCUGCAACUCGACUGCGUGAAGCUGGAAUCGCUAGUAAUCGCGGAUCAGCAUGCC